UACAGAGGGGGCAAGCGUUAUUCGGAAUUAUUGGGCGUAAAGGGCGCGUAGGCGGUUCUUCAAGUCUCUCGUGAAAUCCCUCGGCUUAACUGAGGACGUGCGGGAGAUACUGAAGGGCUUGAGUCCGGAAGAGGGUGGUGGAAUUCCCAGUGUAGCGGUGAAAUGCGUAGAGAUGUGGAGGAACACCGAUGGCGAAGGCAGCCUUCUGGGCCAACACUGACGCUCAUGCACGAAAGCGUGGGGAGCAAACAGG
rnacentral:rRNA from 1 species